rnacentral:tRNA from 1 species
AUUUAUAUAGUUUAAAUAAAACAUUAUAUUUUCAAUAUAAAAAUAAAAUUUAAUAUUUUUAUAAAUA